rnacentral:rRNA from 1 species
UGGGGGAUAUUGCACAAUGGGCGAAAGCCUGAUGCAGCGACGCCGCGUGGGGGAUGAAGGCUUUCGGGUUGUAAACCUCUUUCGCUAUCGCACAAGGCCCGCUUAGGGUGGGUUGAGGGUAGGUGGAGAAGAUGCGCCGGCUAACUGCGUGCCAGCAGCCGCGGUAAUACGUAGGGCGCGAGCGUUGUCCGGAAUUAUUGGGCGUAAAGGGCUUGUAGGCGGCUUGUUGCGCCUGCUGUGAAAAUGCGGGGCUUAACUCUGCGCGUGCAGUGGGUACGGGCAGGCUUGAGUGUGGUAGGGGGGACUGGAAUUCCAGGUGUAGCGGUGGAAUGCGCAGAUAUCUGGAGGAACACCGAUGGCGAAGGGAGGUCACUGGGCCAUUACUGACGCUGAGGAGCGAAAGCAUGGGUAGCGAACAGG